AAACAAGAUGGACUGUAGCACAGUGCUACUAAUUUUGACUGUCUGCUGUGCAGGUCUUGAUGGUCAGACUCUGACAGAAUCUGGACCAGUGGUUAAAAGGCCUGGAGAAUCUCAUAGAUUGACCUGUACAGCCUCUGGAUUCACAUUAAGCAGCUACAAUAUGGACUGGAUUAGACAGGUCCCAGGAAAAGGGCUGGAGUGGAUUGCUCACAUCUGGGGCAAUGGUAACAGAGCAUUCUACUCUCAGUCAGUCCAAGGCCGUUUUACCAUCUCCAGAGACAACAACAGACAGCAGCUGUAUCUGCAGAUGAACAGUCUGAAGACUGAAGACUCUGCUGUUUAUUAUUGUGCUCGAGACUCACAGUGA